rnacentral:rRNA from 1 species
GACGAACGCUGGCGGCGUGCUUAACACAUGCGAGUCGAACGGAAAGGCCCCUUUGGGGGUACUCGAGUGGCGAACGGGUGCGUAACACGUGAGUAACCUGCCCUUGACUUCGGGAUAACUUCAGGAAACUGGGGCUAAUACCGGAUAGGAAUCCUUGCUGCAUGGUGGGGGUUGGAAAGCUUCGGCGGUUUUGGAUGGACUCGCGGCUUAUCAGCUUGUUGGUGGGGUAGUGGCUUACCAAGGCUUUGACGGGUAGCCGGCCUGAGAGGGCGACCGGCCACAUUGGGACUGAGAUACGGCCCAGACUCCUACGGGAGGCAGCAGUGGGGAAUAUUGCACAAUGGGCGGAAGCCUGAUGCAGCAACGCCGCGUGCGGGAUGACGGCCUUCGGGUUGUAAACCGCUUUCAGCAGGGGCGAAGCUUGUGGUGACGGUACCUGCAGAAGAAGCACCGGCUAACUACGUG